rnacentral:rRNA from 1 species
UUGCCUUAGUAACGGCGAGUGAAGCGGCAAAAGCUCAAAUUUGAAAUCUGGUACCUUCGGUGCCCGAGUUGUAAUUUGGAGAGGGCAACUUUGGGGCCGUUCCUUGUCUAUGUUCCUUGGAACAGGACGUCAUAGAGGGUGAGAAUCCCGUGUGGCGAGGAGUGCGGUUCUUUGUAAAGUGCCUUCGAAGAGUCGAGUUGUUUGGGAAUGCAGCUCUAAGUGGGUGGUAAAUUCCAUCUAAAGCUAAAUAUUGGCGAGAGACCGAUAGCGAACAAGUACAGUGAUGGAAAGAUGAAAAGAACUUUGAAAAGAGAGUGAAAAAGUACGUGAAAUUGUUGAAAGGGAAGGGCAUUUGAUCAGACAUGGUGUUUUGUGCCCUCUGCUCCUUGUGGGUAGGGGAAUCUCGCAUUUCACUGGGCCAGCAUCAGUUUUGGUGGCAGGAUAAAUCCAUAGGAAUGUAGCUUGCCUCGGUAAGUAUUAUAGCCUGUGGGAAUACUGCCAGCUGGGACUGAGGACUGCGACGUAAGUCAAGGAUGCUGGCAUAAUGGUUAUAUGCCGC